AGAGUUUGAUCCUGGCUCAGGACGAACGCUAGCGGCGUGCUUAAUGAAUGCGAGUCGAGCGAGAACCGAGUGCAUGAAGCCUUCGGGAUGAUUGGGCUCGGGGAGAGCGGCGAACAGGUGAGUAACACGUGGGUAACGUACCCUCCAGACGGGGACAACAGUUGGAAACGGCUGCUAAUACCCGAUGGUCAGAGUCCGACGCAUGUCGGCCUCUGUAAAUGCUCCGGCGCUGGAGGAUUGGCCCGCGGUGGAUUAGCUUGUUGGUGAGGUAACAGCUCACCAAGGCGACGAUCCAUAGCCGGUCUGAGAGGAUGGCCGGUCACACUGGGACUGAGACAUGGUCCAGACUCCUACGGGAGUUAGCAUCAGGGAAUCUUGCCCAAUGAGCGCAAGCUUGAGGCAGCGACGCCGCGUGAGGGACGAAGGCCUGCGGGUCGUAAACCUCUGUCAGGAGGGACGAAACCGCGCUAGUCGCGCUGACGGUACCUCCAAAGGAAGCCCCGGCUAAUUACGUGCCAGCAGCCGCGGUAAGACGUAAGGGGCCAGCGUUGUCCGGAAUUACUGGGCGUAAAGAGCACGUAGGUGGCUUAGCAAGCGGUGGGUGAAAGCCCGCGGCUCAACUGCGGAAUUGCUUGCCGAACUGCUAAGCUUGAGCACGGGAGAGGGCGGUGGAAUUCCUGGUGUAGCGGUGGAAUGCGUCAAUAUCAGGAAGAACACCGGUGGCGAAGGCUGCUGCCUGGAACGUUGCUGACGCUGAGGUGCGAAAGCUAGGGGAGCGAACGGGAUUAGAUACCCCGGUAGUCCUAGCCGUAAACGAUGGGUGCUAGGUGUUGGAGGCUUCGACCCCUCCAGUGCUGUUAAGCUAACGCGUUAAGCACCCCGCCUGGGGAGUACGGCCGCAAGGUUGAAACUCAAAGGAAUUGACGGGGGCCCGCACAAGCGGUGGAGCAUGCGGGUUAAUCGGAUGAUACGCCGAGAACCUUACCAGGGCUUGACAUGGUCUCGACCGCCUACGAAAGUAGGUUUCCUGAGCAAUCAGGCGGGAUCACAGGUGGUGCAUGGUUGUCGUCAGCUCGUGCCGUGAGGUGUUGGGUUAAGUCCCGCAACGAGCGCAACCCUCACCGGAUGUUGCCAGCGGUUAGGCCGGGCACUCUUCCGGGACUGCCCGAGCAAUCGGGAGGAAGGAGAGGAUGACGUCAAAUCGGCAUGCCCCUUACGCCCUGGGCUGCACGCGUGCUACAAUGGCGGGUACAAAGGGUCGCUAAGCCGCGAGGUGGAGCUAAUCCCCCAAAACCCGUCUCAGUUCGGAUCGGAUGUCUGCAACUCGACUCCGUGAAGCUGGAAUCGCUAGUAACCGUGGAUCAGCAAUGCCACGGUGAAUACGUUCCCGGGCCUUGUACACACCGCCCGUCAAGUCACGAAAGUUGGCAGCACCCGAAGUCCGCUACGGCGGCCGAAGGUGAGGUCAGUGAUUGGGACUAAGUCGUAACAAGGUA
rnacentral:rRNA from 1 species